AACCUUUGCUGAGAAGAGAUGUGCCCUGUGGUAAGGGAGACUGGCUCUCCUGGCAUCUUUGCUCCUUCCCAUUCUCAUUCAUCAGCAAGCAGAGCUGGGAGAAAACAGAAGUUAUGAACACAAUGGACAUAGACUAUGAGACCCUGAGGAUAAAUUCAUCUUUGACCCAUCAGCCACCAAAUGAUUCGGGACCUAUGCACACACCAUUUCACAUCACUGCGUAUCACAUCUGUGGUCUGCCAGGGUGCAACGCAGUGAGGCAGGAGCUGAGACAGAAUGCUGCUUGUAUUGCCUUGUUCGUAGUGGUUUUGUCUCCCUUAGUAAAAAAUAAUCCCAGGUUUUGCUGAUCUUUAGGGCAGCCUGCUAGAUCUUCACUUUGUUUAAAAAAAAAAAAAGUUGAAGGCAGGUAGAAUUUGGGUGUGAUUGUGUGACAGAGCAUGACGGAGAGGUUAAGCCUUGCAGUUUAUUGUAGAUAAAAGAAGUAACAGAAUUGUAAAAUAAGCACUAGUUUUUAAAUCAUUCUAGCCUGAGGCACAGUUAGCAGAAGAGAUUUUUCCAAGGCCACACCAAAACAUUUAUAUUCCAGACUCAAUUAUUGAUCAACAUGAAACAUACAUUUAUAUCAGGCAUCACCUUUGAAGUCUGUUAAAGUUAUAAAUAACUUUUAAAAUGUGACUGCUUUUCAAGGUAACACUUUCAGGAUUUCCAUGCCGUUUUUACGGAAGCUCUGGGAAAAGUCACUGAUGGAGAGGAAUCUGAGGUGUGGCUGCCCUUUACAGGAAAGUGGGUGCAUGACUGGCAAGGCAAAAUAAAAAAUUAACUGAUAAAAUAAAUACUGUGAAGAGGAAGGAGAUACAGCACAGAGGAAAAGUACUGUGAUAGAAAAGGGCAAUGGAUCAGGAGAAGCUUGCUGCAGGUGCUGAGAGGAGGACAUACAGGAGAGUGAGGCAAAUCCCGGCCUUUACCCCUUCGGAUGAGGGGCUUCCCCGGUAAAAAGGGGGAUUUUCGUGACAACAGGGACCAGCCUCUGGCACGACGGCUGGGGGAAGGCUCGGUGGGUUAUUACUGCUCCAGGGGUGAUACCUGACAAUAAGGAA